UGGACACGUUUAAUGCUAGUCUGUAAAUUGAGGCAGCUGAUUAGAGUAUGCAACUAUCUCACCAAAGCCCACAGCUCCUGAAGAAAUGGACAAUCACAGUCAUGCUAACCAGAAAUUACCAGCUCAAGAAAGUUUCUUUUAGUUGGACACAAAGGGAAAUGCAGAGAAUAUGAAAAAUGGCAGUAUUACUUUGGGAACAAACAAGGGAGAGUAAAUAACAAGUUCACAUGUAUUCUUAAAGAGUAA